GUGUGGUCGGUUGUGUGUGAGGGCUGAGGGUGGGGCCCCGCUGCUGCCCGGGCUGCGGAGGGGAGAGCGCCUUGGCCGCUGGCCUCGCUCGUGGUUUCCCCUGGGGCGGAGGCGAGUUGUGCUUCCUGCGGGGAGAGAGAAGGGCCUUGGGAAGCUGCUCCAUGAGCCACAGCUGUGCCGAGCCCGGGAGUCUGUCCAGGAGAAAAUCUGGAAAGCAGGCAGGAAGAAGAGAAGCCCCGUGACUCCUCCCUGAGCCCCAGCCAGCCCCUGAACUGCCUUCCUGGGAAUGGUGGGACGGGCUGGACUCUGGAUUGCUCCCUCUGCAUGUGUGGCUCUCCCCUCAGGAACUGCAGGAACUCCUGGUGCCGCCUGGGCCGAUGGAUUGGACGCCCCAGCCCCUCCGUUCCUGCCCAGCCCCUGGGGCCGUGUCCAGUGGUGGCACUGCCAGCCCUGCAGGGGAAGUGGGAAGGGCCUUUGCAGGUCUGGUGGAUCACACUCAUAGCAGGUAAAAUUGCAGCACAAGGACCUGGGGUUUGUUAUUCUUGAGUUCAGAAAGCUCCUUUUGAUUGGUGAGCAGAACAAAGUGGAUCCUUCAGAGUUCCCAUCUGUGUUUGUGUCUCAGCCUGUGUUAGGAUUCAGGGCUGUCAGGUGUUGUCACUGAGGAGUCAAACUGUGCUUUAAAUAAUGAGACC